rnacentral:lncRNA from 1 species
GAAAAAGUCAACGAAACCAAAUUAUUCCUUUUUUAAAAAAAAUGAAUUAGGCGAGACAAUUGCAAAUCAAGUAGGAAAAUUGAGAUAAAAUAAAAUAGCAUGGGGAAACACUAGGCUAAUUAUAAAGUUAGUACAAGUAGACAAUAAGCAUAAAAUGCAAAUUAUAAGUAAACAAAAGAUCAAAAGUUGAGAAUGGGCCCUUUUAGGCCCAUCAGUGGGCUGCCCAGCUUUGGGCCUCCCAUUGUAUGGACUUUUAAGUCCAUUUUUCUGCAUUGUACACCACAGGUAUACCAGUCCCUCUUUUCUAGCAUUUUGGGUAUAUUUAGUGUAUAUAUGACCGUAUUUCGGUCAUAUAUACAUAACUUUGGCCCUCCGUCUGUAUCAUCAGCUCCGUUUUCUCCUUUUUUUCACCGUAUAUCACCCGUAUACCGGCUUCCAUAAUGCGUAUACCACUAUAUUAGGACUGUAUCUACAUGUUAGUCCCUUCGAUUACUUUUGGGACGUGGUCCCGGAGAGAUGCAGGCUAUGGAGUCCAAUUGGACUCGGACGAUUUACAUAAAAUGUAAGGAUUAGUACAUGCAACAUGUAGUACCAAUAUGCGUUAGUGAAAAUAGAGCCUGUGAAUAUGUCCAAGUAGCAAGUAACAAAGACAAGAACUUGUGAAGAAAUAUCAAAUCCUCAACCAUUAACCAACAUGCCUAAACACUAGAUAUACUUGUGUAACAGUGAAGCACUUAGCACUAAUGAUGGAAAACUCGUGAAUACUUUUUGUAGCACUUACAUUGAGCAAAUUUUCAGUUACCAAGCGAAAUCAAAUAAAAAUAUAUCAAGAUUAACACACAACUCCCACAAGAGAACAGUAAGAACAAAAUUAAACAAAUAUCUUCACUUUACUGAUUCGAAGGAGAUGAACUUAUUAUUUUUUUUAUUUAUUUUUCACCAAUCCCACCAGCUCUUCGUCUCUCUAAGUCCAACUAACAUUACAGGUACCAACAUCUGGUAAAAGAUUAUUCGAGCCAUCUCCGGGAAAUGCAAUAUUUGGCACACAUGAAAAAAUGGCAAAGAAAGAAAAGAUAUGUCAAAGUUCAAAUCUUUGACAAUUUAUGUUGGAAUCUAGUCUCACCUUCAGACUAUUUU